AUAAUAGGUUCAAAAGCAGGUGAUUCUCUCGUUCCAGAGCAUCGCAAAAUUACAGCAGUGGGGUCGUCUGGCGCUGAGCUGCUGAGCCUUGACCAUUCUUCUGUUGUUCUCCAACCGAAGCGGGAACAAACAAUCAAGCAAACCACUGAAGCAGAGGCGGUAACAUCCUCUCAAAUUCAAGGAAAGAUGGAAUAUAGUUCUGAUGAAGAAUCUGAUAUUAGUGAAUCAGAGAUCAAUGACUACAAGGAGAAGCCAUACGGAGAAUUGAAAUCUGGAAAAUACAAAGUAAAAGUAAAUGGAACCCUAAGAUGUCCAUUUUGUGCUGGGAAAAAGAAGCAGGAUUACAAGUACAAGGACUUGCUCCAACAUGCAACAGGGGUGGGUAAAGGCUCUGCCAAUAGGAGCGCGAAACAAAAGGCAAACCAUGUUGCCUUGGCAAUCUAUUUGGAGAAUGACCUAGCUGAUGAAUCAGAUCAAAGCCAUCGUCCAGCUUUGCCAAAACCUGUCAAUCCAACUCCACAGCAAGUCGAUCUCUUUGUAAAGCCGUGGAUGGGAAUAGUAGUUAACAUAGUGACUGAAGGAAAGGAUAGCAAUGCCUUGCAUGACAAUGCGUAUUGGUUGAAAAAGUUUGCUCAGUAUAAACCUUCGGAAGUUAGUACAUUUUGGAGUGAGCAUGAGCAAACUGGACAGGCUGUGUUGAAAUUUAACGAUGAUUGGAAUGGUUUUAUGAAUGCCACUGAAUUCGAAAAAUCAUUCGAAACCUUGCACCAUAGCAAAAAAGAUUGGAAAGAACGAAAGACAAAUCCUGGCUCAAGUAUGUAUGGGUGGUGUGCUCGAGCUGAUGAUCAUGAUUCAGAGGGUCCAAUAGGAGAUUUUCUUCGCAAGAAAGGAAAGCUGAGAACAAUUUCUGGCAUUGUUGAAGAAGCUACUGAAAGCAGAAACAGUGUUGUGGCACAUUUGUCCAACAAAAUUGAUCAGACAAAUAAAAAUUUGGAUGACCUCCAGUACAAAUACAAUGAGAAGACAAUGUCAUUGAGUCGGAUGCUUGAAGAGAAAGACAAACUGCACUAUGCUUUCAUUGAAGAAACAAGGAAGAUGCAACGGCAUGCACGUGAUAAUGUUCGCAGAAUCUUGGAAGAGCAGGAAAAUCUGAAUGAUGAAUUGGAGUCUAAGAAGAGGAAACUUGAUAGCUGGAGCAAAGAAUUGAACAAACGUGAAGCAUUAACUGAACGCGAGAGACAAAAACUUGAUGAAGAGAAGAAAAAGAAUGAUGAUCAAAACAAUUCACUUCAGUUGGCAUCUAUGGAGCAGAAAAAGGCUGAUGAGAAUGUCUUAAGGCUAGUUGAAGAGCAGAAGAGGGAAAAGGAAGAAGCAUUAAAUAAGAUACUUCAGUUGGAAAAACAGUUGGAUGCCAAACAGAAGUUAGAAAUGGAAAUUGAAGAGUUGAAAGGGAAACUACAAGUGAUUAAGCAUCUUGGUGAUCAAGAUGAUGCAGCUGUCCAAAGGAAGAUGAAAGAGAUGGCUGACGAGCUAGAACAGAAAGAAGAGGAUUUCGGUGAUAUGGAAAAUUUGCAUCAUACUCUUGUUGUGAAAGAACGCCAGAGUAAUGAUGAGUUACAAGAUGCACGUAAAGAAUUAAUUGCGGGUUUGGGAGAUAUGUUGUCCUCGGUUGUUCGGACCAAUAUUGGAAUAAAGAGAAUGGGGGAGAUUGAUCAAAAGCCAUUCCUUAACACAUGUAAGCAAAAAUUUCCACUGGAGGAAGCUCAGGUCCAGGCCACCACUCUGUGCUCCUUGUGGCAAGAGAAUUUGAAGGACUCAUCCUGGCAACCAUUUAAAAUCGUUCCAGAUGCUGAAGUUGAAGGGAAAGUAAAUGAAAUAGUAGAUGAAGAAGAUGAGAAGCUGCAAAAUCUCAAACUGGAGUGGGGGGAUGAGAUAUACAAUGCUGUUGUUACAGCUCUGAAGGAGAUAAAUGAGUAUAAUGCAAGUGGGAGAUAUAUAACUCCGGAGCUCUGGAACUUCAAAGAAGGAAGGAAAGCCACUUUGAAAGAGGUCAUUGGUUAUAUUGUGAAAAAUAUAAAAACACUUAAGCGCAAGAGAUGAUAUCAAAAUCAGAUGACUACUUAGCUCAGCUAAUCGAAGAACCACUUGCUGCCUUUCCCAAAUCUUAAUUUAUGUGGCAUCAUAUGCUGUGGAAUCUAUUGCAUUUGCUCUACUGCAGUUGGUCCCCGAUAUUUCCACCAAUGAAACCAGAAGCUGUGACCAUCCACAAAUCUUCAGAGCUUGUAUUUUCUCUCUCUGCUCCAGCUGGAUGCAAUAUUUCUUAAAGUUGUUAUAUCGGGAGUUGUGUUCUCUGAUGAAUUGUGAACUGAAUGUUUAGCAUCAAAAUCUAUUGAAAGGCUCUCUGGACAUCUUUAAAAUUUGA